rnacentral:rRNA from 1 species
GGCGAAACCACAGCCAAGGGAACGGGCUUGGCGGAAUCGGCGGGGAAAGAAGACCCUGUUGAGCUUGACUCUAGUCGAACGUCGAGGAACAGCACGGACGAACGUAGCAUAGGUGGGAGGCUCCGGCCGAACCUGAAAUACCACCGUCUCCGUCGUUGUUCUUCUCAUUUGGUGGUGUAGGGAUGGGGCGAAGCCCCUUUUUCUGGAGACGGCCGCGACGCGCGCCCGUCCGGGCUCCGUCGCUCGCGCGAGCGAGCGGCGGGGUCCGGCAGGCCUCCGCCCGCGGCGCCUAAUCCGAAGACGUCGUUCGGUGGGGAGUUUUGGCUGGGGCGGCACAUCCGUUAAAAGGCAACGCGGGUGUCCAAAGGGGAGCUCGGCGAGAAGGGAAAUCUCGCGUCGAACGAAAGGGG